UACGUAGGUGACCAGCGUUGUCCGGAUUUACUGGGCGUAAAGAGCGCGCAGGCGGUCGUUCAAGUCGAGUGUGAAAGCCCCCGGCUCAACUGGGGAGGGUCACUCGAUACUGAUCGACUUGAAGGCAGGAGAGGGAAGCGGAAUUCCCGGUGUAGUGGUGAAAUGCGUAGAUAUCUGGAGGAACACCGGUGGCGAAGGCGGCAUCCUGGACCGACACUGACGCUGAGGAGCGAAAGCCAGGGGAGCAAACGGG
rnacentral:rRNA from 1 species